rnacentral:lncRNA from 1 species
AGAGGGAAGGUCUGGUCUGUUUGUUGUAACGAAUAGAAAGAUGGGAAGCAGAAGAAAGCUUGGCGUUAAAACUGCGGAUGUUAACGAAGGAUCUUGGUAUGACAGAGGAAGAUCUGGGGCAGGUGGAAGUUGCGGGAGUAAGGUUGGUGAGAUUGGAAAUGGACGCCAUUUUUUUCCAGCUGGGGAAGUAUGAAAAGUGUUAUUCUUGGUUUGAUCGGAUGAUAAAAACAAGAAAAGUGAGAACCAAUGGGGUUUUGCUGGAAUGGUGAGUUAGGUGGACUAGUAAAAAUGAUGGAUUGCUGCUCUAAUAGUUGUCUGAUACAGAAUAGUAACAAUAAUCCAUCGAGCUAAUGGUGUCUUAUGAUAAACAUGAGAGGUUGCUUCACGUCUUGUAAUAGCUGCUGUUAGUUUGCAAGGGGUCGUACUUUGACUAAUCGUACUUUGAAAAGGUCAAACGUUUAGAAGACAAAAUGAGUCGAGAUACGGAACUCUUUGUUGUACAUACAGCUUUUAAUUUUUGAUAGCGCCUACAAACUUAAGAGAUACCAACUGAUCUGUUUAGGCAUGCAUAUGAUAAGCAUUAAACAAUAAACACAGACUAUAAACAGUCUUUCACCAUCAUCAUCGAAAAACAGAACUUAGAGUACACGUUCAAUAAAUAUGACAAGUUUCUUAUUAUUCAGCAAAAAAACAAGACAAUCUUGCUCUAAAUUGCCUUAAUAUUAAAAGAAAAAAACAGAUGAGAAUCUUUGAGACACAGACACUGUCUGCUGUUGUGCUUUUAUUCGUCAUUAACCAAUGAGUAACUUAUUCUCUUCCAAGAAGCUGUAGGUUGGUACCUCCAGGUUGUAUGGAGCAGGACCUUUCCUAAUCCUUCCAGAGAUAUCAUAAUGCGAACCGUGACAAAUAUGGCUGAUUCGGAUAAAUUUAAAUAUUUUGGUUACAAAUAUUUUUUGAAUAAUUCGGUUCUUUCAAGUAUUUCAAAUAGUUUUAAAUAUUUCAGAUAAAAAAAUUCUGGAUAAUUUGGUUUAUAAAUGAUAUUUUAGAAGUUCAGUAAAUUUUCAAUAAUAUAAAUUAUAUUUUAGAUAGUUACAUACCAAUUUAAUUUUCGCUUCAGUUUCGGUUUUGGAUUUCCAAGAUAUGGAAACUGUUUAAAUAAUUGUGAACAUCGGUUUGGUUUUGGAUUAGUUUUUUCAGAUUUGGUUCAGUUUUCAGCUUACUCACAAUAUGUAAAAGUUACUUAUAAAUUGAAGUAACUCCACUAAAACAUCAUAAUACAAGAACAAGUGUGAACAUGCCAUAUAACAGCUCUAGGAAACGUAGAGUUUGAAGAACAAAGCCGAAGGCUCUUCUUUUAUUCCAUUACUACAGUAAACAAAACGAAGAGCCAAGGUUCAAAUCUGUGACGUUAAGCGUUUUCUUUCUCCUCUUCAUUGGCUGGCUAGUUUGAGAGAGUUGGCCUUGUCUUGAAGUGUACCAAGCAGACUCUCGAAACUCUUCUUGAACGAGUCUACACCUUCUUCUUCCAACUGUUCUCCCACUUUGUUCCAGUCUAUUCCCAGCUUCUCUAGUGCACUGUACACCCCUUCUGCUUCUGACACAUUCGCAUCUAUCGUCCUCUUCACCGUUCCAUGGUCAAUGAACGCUUCCAGCGCUUGAUCCGGCAUGGUUGACACCUAAACCCAAACCAAAAAUAUAAACACUUGUUUUGGGAAGUGAAACAUGAGACGGCAAACACAAAAGAUGACUCACAGUGUCAGGUCCAAUGAGAGGAGCAACAUAUAAAGUGUCAGAGUAAGCUGGGUUCUUGACACUUGUCGAUGCCCAGAGAAGCCUCUGCUUCUUGGCACCUUUCUUCACCAAAGCUUCCCAUCUUGGGCCUGAGAACUUUUUCUGGUAUAGUUGGUAUGCUAAUGCAGCUUGAGCCACAGCCGCCUGCAAGAACAACACAUCAGGUGUUCACAAACUCAUAAACUCAUUCACAGCAAUGAACCGAGAUUUUACCUUGCCACGGAGGUCUAGAGCUUCUGGGGUACCAAUCUUCUCAAGCAUCUUGUCCAUGAGAGUAUCCACCCUACUCACAAAGAAGGAAGCAACACUUGUAACUCUUGAGAGGUCAUCAAGUCCAGACGCCUCGAGUCCAUCCAAAUAUGCAUCGAUCACUGCCUCAUAUCUAGCUAUUGAGAAUAUAAGCUGCAACAGAACAGAACAAGGAUGUAUCAUAUAAGAACAUAACCGUUAAUUCCUGGAAAUGUCUUUAAAUAUUUGUAUACACCAACGUUCGUUUCGGGUUUUGAGACUGCUAUAAAUAUGAGUCUAAUCAGUUGUAAAUUUAUUCAUUCACGUAAUAAUAUACAAAUUCUAAAAACGGGUAUUUGCCUCAAUAUGUUUUGCUCUUGAGUUAUUUGCUUUCUUCAAGUUUGAUUCGUGUUUGUUCACAACACACUACAAUUUUUUUAAGUAUUAUAACUCAGUUUAGGACAAGUUACUUACCGUGACAUUGACACUUAUUCCAGAAGCAAUGACAUCUCUGAUGGAAGGAAUACAUGGAGCAGUAGCAGGGAUCUUAAUAUAGACAUUACGACGGUUCACAGACUUGUGAAGAAGUUUAGCAGCUUUAACAGUGGUUUUGGUAUCAUCAGCAAGCAGAGGUGAAACUUCAACAGAAACAUAGCCAUCCUCAGCAUCAGUCUGGUCAUAGAUUGGCUCAAAAAGCUUGCAAGCAUCUUGAAUAUCCUUCACCACAAGCUCCCAGUACGCUUUUUUAAUGGCCGUUCCAGACUCCACAAGUGUCCUAAUAAAAACAAAAAGAAACUGAUUCUAAUACAGCCAAAAAAGCAUCAUAAAGAUAUGCAUCCACACUAUUACCUGAACUGAUCAUUAUAAGCAUCUGAAGUGGAUAUGGCUUUCUGGAAGAUCUACAAAGGUUUUAAUAGAGUGAAGGAGUUUUAAGACAAAAUGAAACAACCAGAGAGUAAAAUAAAGGUAAAAGGGCACAAAGAGAGAUGGUUAUUAAAAAAUUACCGCAGGGUUGCUAGUUACACCACGAACGCCACGGGCAAUGAAGGGGAUAAGAUCAGUGACAGGACGGCAUAGAUUAUCAUACCAAGGACUCUGGCCUUCCUUCUCAUAUAGAUCGUGAAGAGUGGUUCUCUUUGCAGUACUUCCAUUUCCACCAGAGGCUGAACACCUCACACUGUAAAAUCAACCAAAGGAAGAAAGAGUACAUAAAAUCAAAUUCUGCUGCAGAUAGAGAAACAUAUAGUUUGCUUUUCUUAAACCAACCUAUCAACGUGAAUUGCAAGAUCAACCUUAUAGCAAGAAAAAGACUAUAGAGAGACAAGACACAUGCAUCAGUAAAGUUGAUAUGUAUACUUACAAGAGGGAAGGUCUGGUCUGUUUGUUGUAACGAAUAGAAAGAUGGGAAGCAGAAGAAAGCUUGGCGUUAAAACUGCGGAUGUUAACGAAGGAUCUUGGUAUGACAGAGGAAGAUCUGGGGCAGGUGGAAGUUGCGGGAGUAAGGUUGGUGAGAUUGGAAAUGGACGCCAUUUUUUUCCAGCUGGGGAAGUAUGAAAAGUGUUAUUCUUGGUUUGAUCGGAUGAUAAAAACAAGAAAAGUGAGAACCAAUGGGGUUUUGCUGGAAUGGUGAGUUAGGUGGACUAGUAAAAAUGAUGGAUUGCUGCUCUAAUAGUUGUCUGA